rnacentral:rRNA from 1 species
AAGUGGUAGGAGAGCGUUCUAUUUGCGUCGAAGGUAUACCGGUAAGGAGUGCUGGAGCGAAUAGAAGUGAGCAUGCAGGCAUGAGUAGCGAUAAUUAAUGUGAGAAUCAUUAACGCCGUAAACCCAAGGUUUCCUACGCGAUGCUCGUCAUCGUAGGGUUAGUCGGGUCCUAAGUCGAGUCCGAAAGGGGUAGACGAUGGCAAAUUGGUUAAUAUUCCAAUACCAACAUUAGUGUGCGAUGGAAGGACGCUUAGGGCUAAGGGGGCUAGCGGAUGGAAGUGCUAGUCUAAGGUCGUAGGAGGUUAUACAGGCAAAUCCGUAUAACAAUACUCCGAGAACUGAAAGGCUUUUUGAAGUCUUCGGAUGGAUAGAAGAACCCCUGAUGCCGUCGAGCCAAGAAAAGUUUCUAAGUUUAGCUAAUGUUGCCCGUACCGUAAACCGACACAGGUGGGUGGGAUGAGUAUUCUAAGGCGCGUGGAAGAACUCUCUUUAAGGAACUCUGCAAAAUAGCACC